rnacentral:ncRNA from 1 species
GAAAGAUGAAAAGGAGUUUGAAAAGAGAGUCAAAGAGUGCUUGAAAUUAUCGGGAGGGAAGCGGAUGGGGGCCGGCGAUGCUCCCCGAUCGGAUGUGGAAUGGUGAAAGCCGGUCCGCCACUCGGCUUGGGGAGCGGACCGAUGCGUAUUGCGGCGGCGCCCCAAGCCCGGGUUGUYGCGUUAUGCCCGUGGAGACGUUGUCGUCGCGAUUGUGGAAGGCAGCACACACCCUUAGGCAUGCCUUGGCACCUGCAUGCUCCAGGCAUCGGCCUGUGGGCUCCCCAUUCGGCCCGUCUUGAAACACGG